AUGUUCACGCAGCAGGUGCAUUAUCACCAGCGAGGUCAAUCCAAGGCAUGAUAUUUGCUCACUGAAAACUUUUUCUAGUAUCCUGCCCUGAUGAUUAGAAAUACAGUCAGUGUUGGCAAUUUUUGACAGUCUCUAAGGAGA
ensembl:snRNA U4 U4 spliceosomal RNA